ensembl:snRNA
GUGUUGUACGAAAAGAGAGCAGGUUAGCAGUCCCCUUGACCAGGAUGGAAGAGGCCUUGGGCCUAACAGCACACAUAUGGUUAAGGCAUUGCCACCUACUCUGUGGUAUCUAAGCAUUUAAAUAA